AACGAACGCUGGCGGCAGGCUUAACACAUGCAAGUCGAACGCCCCGCAAGGGGAGUGGCAGACGGGUGAGUAACACGUGGGAACAUGCCCAAAGGUACGGAAUAUUCUCGGGAAACUGGGAGCAAUACCGUAUGUGCCCGAAAGGGGAAAGAUUUAUCGCCUUUGGAUUGGCCCGCGUUGGAUUAGCUAGUUGGUGGGGUAAAAGCCUACCAAGGCGACGAUCCAUAGCUGGUCUGAGAGGACGACCAGCCACACGGGGACUGAGACACAGCCCAGACUCCUACGGGAGGCAGCAGUGGGGAAUCUUGGACAAUGGGCGCAAGCCUUAUCCAGCCAUGCCGCGUGAGUGAUGAAGGCCCUAGGGUUGUAAAACUCUUUCGUGGGGGACGAUAAUGACGGUACCCCAAGAAGAAGCUCCGGCUAACUUCGUGCCAGCCGCCGCCGUAACAC
rnacentral:rRNA from 1 species